UGAGCAAUCUGCCCUUCUCUUCGGAAUAAGCGUUGGAAACGAUGUCUAAUGCCGAAUACGACCUCCUUUCGCAUGAUCGGAGGUGGAAAGCUCCGGCGGAGAAGGAUGAGCUCGCGGCCUAUCAGCUAGUUGGUGUGGGUAAUGGCCCACCAAGGCGACGACGGGUAGCCGGCCUGAGAGGGUGACCGGCCACACUGGGACUGAGACACGGCCCAGACUCCUACGGGAGCAG
rnacentral:rRNA from 1 species